CGCACAUUGCGCCCCCUGGCAUUCCGGAGGGCAUGCCUGUUCGAGCGUCAUUACAUCUCUCAAGCCCUGCUUGGUAUUAGGUAUCAUCAUCAGCUGAUGAAUCCGAAAUAUAGCGGCUGACUGUCUCAUCGCCGAGCGAAUGAAGUGAUAAAAACACUCGCUAUAGAUCGAUAAGACAGCUCAUGCCAUAAUAUCAAAGAUUGCUUUUUGCCGGGCAAUCUCGAUCAAUUGACCUCGGAUCAGGUAGGAAUACCCGCUGAACUUAA
rnacentral:misc_RNA from 1 species